rnacentral:rRNA from 1 species
GACGAACGCUGGCGGCGUGCCUAAUACAUGCAAGUCGAGCGAAGUUUUUCUGGUGCUUGCACUAGAAAAACUUAGCGGCGAACGGGUGAGUAACACGUAAAGAACCUGCCUCAUAGACUGGGACAACUAUUGGAAACGAUAGCUAAUACCGGAUAACAGUAUUUCUCGCAUGAGAGAUAUUUAAAAGUUGGUUAUGCUAACACUAUGAGAUGGCUUUGCGGUGCAUUAGCUAGUUGGUGGGGUAAAGGCCUACCAAGGCGACGAUGCAUAGCCGACCUGAGAGGGUGAUCGGCCACACUGGGACUGAGACACGGCCCAGACCCCUACGGGAGGCAGCAGUAGGGAAUCUUCCGCAAUGGGCGAAAGCCUGACGGAGCAACGCCGCGUGAGUGAAGAAGGAUUUCGGUUCGUAAAGCUCUGUUGUUAGGGAAGAAAUGGAUAUGUAGUAACUAUACAUGUCCGAGACGGGUACCUAACCAGAAAAGCCACGGCUUAACUACGUUGCCAGCAGCCCGCGGUAAUUUCCGUACGUGGCCAGGUGUUUGUUCCGCGAUUUAUCUGGGGCGUCGAAGCGCGCGCCAUGUUGGUUUUAUAUCAUCUUCUGCACGUUGAAAACCCCAACGGCUUAGACCGUGGGAAGG